CAAGAAAGGGAUCAAUGAAUAUUGAUCAGUACUUAAAUACAAUUAAACAACUAGCAGAUAAUCUCAAAAUUGCGGGAAAAAGCAUCCCUCACAAUGAUCUUAUUAGACAAGUGUUGGCUGGACUAGAUGAGGAGCACACUCCUAUAGUGGUUCAAAUCAACAGCAAAGACUCCAUCUCUUGGCCUGAGUUGCAAUCUAUACUGAUGACUUUUGAAAGUCGAAUUGAGCACCUUAAUACUGUGAAAAACAACCUAGCUUCAAUUAACUUGAGUCACACCUCAGCAAAUUUUGUGCACAGAUCAAAUAUCAACAGAGGAGGUAGGUCCAACUAUGGAGGAAGAAGCUACUACAAUAGAGGUGGGAGAAGCAGAGGUAGAAUCAACAUACAAAAUGAGAACAAAGGACCAUGUCAAAUCUGUGGUUUGAGCAAUCAUUCAGCAAAAAAAAUGUUUUAAUCGUUAUGAUGAAAGGUAUAUGGGCACAAGGCCUGAACAGCACUACCAGAACAACUCUUCAAGACCAGCAGCUCUUAUAGCUUCAUCAAGUACUGUAUCAGAUCCUGCUUGGUUUGCAGACUCAGGAGCCAGCAACCAUCUCAUUACUGCUGAGAAGAAGAACCUGUCUGAGGCACAUGAGUAUGGUGGUAAGGAAACUCUUGCUGUUGGUAAUGGUAACAGACUCCAUAUUUUUCAUAUUGGUACAAAU
rnacentral:lncRNA from 1 species